rnacentral:lncRNA from 1 species
UGUCUGCAUUGAUUCAACUUAAAAAUAUUGUCUGUUUGGAUGUCAGAUGGAAUUUUUGAAAAUUCUUAAGCAUUUAAAAAAAUUCUAAUUAAAUAUUUCGUGGAAGGGCAGACUAAACAUUUUCAGUGGUUGAAGAUUAUAAACCCUAGUUAUCACACACACAUUUUCAUCAUCCAAAUUAAAAGACUGUCGUCAAGUACUUUUAGAAAAAAAAUAGCUAUUCGAACACACCUACUCUGUUUUUGUGAUUCAUUAGAUAGGUAUCUCAAUUGACCCAUAUAUUUCAUCUUUUCGUACUGUCAUUUUUUUUACGUUAUAAAGUCAACCUGUAGCUUUGAUAUAUAAUAAUG